UACGUAGGGUGCAGGCGUUAAUCGGAAUUACUGGGCGUAAAGCGUGCGCAGGCGGUUUUGUAAGCCAGAUGUGAAAGCCCCGGGCUUAACCUGGGAAUGGCAUUUGGGACUGCAAGGCUGGAGUUUGGCAGAGGAGACUGGAAUUCCUGGUGUAGCAGUGAAAUGCGUAGAUAUCAGGAGGAAUACCGAUGGCGAAGGCAGGUCUCUGGGCUAUAACUGACGCUCAUGCACGAAAGCGUGGGGAGCAAACAGG
rnacentral:rRNA from 1 species